ensembl:lncRNA
GAGCAAUAAAAGAUGCUCACUACGGUAUUCUAGAAUCACAUGGUACACUGCCGUCACUUUAAACGCUCGCUCUCCCUCCACAGCCCUUCUGUUAGUGUGAUCCCAGAGGAGUGUUUUCAGCCGUACGCUCGCGUCUGUCGACCAAACACACGCCGAGGUCGACACCAGUGAGUCUCAGAGCAGCUCUUUUCUUCCACACGCCUCUCAGUUGCUAAGAAACCCUGAUAUUUGAUGAGCGAUUUAUUUAUUAAAAACUGUAUUAGCUACUUGCCACCUUAUUCUAAUUCUAUUCUAAUGUCUCUUUGUUGUCAUUAUUUGUAUGAAUACUUGGCAAUCAGCCUGUAUAGUUACAAGAGUGUGUUACAGACAUUAUAAUAUUAAUGAUUUUUGUUAUGUAUAUUUACAGUAAACUCACUGUAUUUGUUUGUGGUGAAUCAGAAGCACAAAUCAGCUGACGUUCCUGUAGUCAAACUCCUGAUUAUCUCAUCAUCAUCAGCGAGUGCUUCAGAGAUUUCAUGAGCUAAUAUUUGCAGAAGAGUCACUCUGCAGGUUCCUCCGGCGCUCGUAUCAGCCGCUGGAGUAACGCGGAGCUCUCCCACAUUAAAAAGUCCUCAAGAAUGCAGAGCACUCGCUCUCAGAGCAAGACGUGGAUAAUCCAAAGUGACAAAUGAUGUAAAGUAACACAUGGAGAUGGUUUUAGCUUUGACUGACUGCAUCACUAUAGCAACCAGCCGCCGUAAUCGGCCUGGACUUAUAGCUGCGCAAAACGAUGCACUCAUUGAGUUUUUAAUGUGAUAUGGGACACGCACACAAACACACACACACACACACACACACACACACACACACACACACAUCUGAGUGACCUACUGUAAAUCAGUUCAAACUUCACUUUCCAGCCGUCAAUAAUGCUGUAUCAUGCAAAGGUACUGUUUGGAUGUAUUUUGUAAAUAUAUGGAAAUGCAUAAAUGUAAAUUUACAAGUUAAUUUAUUUUCAUUUUGAUUUAUCAAUUAAAAUACGACAUUUUGUAGGAUGUUUUGUUUUCUUGGGAAAUUACAGUAUUUAAAAUAUUGAAACAUUAUAUAUCAAAAACAUUUUCAAAAUAUUAAUAUUAAAAAAAGAGAAACUAAGAGUAAUUAAUUAAUUGUAUUUUAGUACAAACCUCAC